UGGACGCAGUCAUUUACUGGCUUCAGAACAUGAUGCUUCUGUGGUAGAUUAUGGUACACGUAGUCAUAAGGAUCAGCAUUCUCAUUCUGUUUACUCGGGGGAACAGCACUUGUGACUCGCCAUGAAUCGAACACGUCGCCUGCCAAGACAAAACAAGCAGUAACAAAUUAGAUGGAGAAAAUCUAAUAUAAUAUAAAUAGGAAUAAAUUAAAUGCACCAAAUUUACCUGUUCCACGAAAAAGCCUGCACUCAUCGUCAUCAUCAUCAUGUAUUGUUUGUUCCUCUUGUAUAUUAUCUAUAUCUAUUUUGAAAACAUGUUAAUUUUAUUGAACCCAUUUGAACCUGGCAACAUUUGUAUAUUUGAAGGUUUUAUGAAAAGCCAGCACUAUUUUUUUUCAUUUUACCUUCAAAUAUAGAACCAUGUUCAACCGGCUCAAAAAUGCUUGUAGUACAGUCAUCAUCACUGUUUGUGUCUCGAAGAUCUGCAAAAAAAAGCAUAAACAAGUCUUACAUAUUGGAAGUUAAUGGACAACUUUUGCACAGCGAGUACUAAAUACCUGUUUGAUUAUUUUUAGAUUGUUGUGUUUGUAUGACGGGUGUGCACCAUCCGUUGAUGAAGGGUGACUUGUGUUCCUGGACCAAUUUCUUAUACUCACGGUUAUUGUGCAACCAUACGUCCUUCUGUCCAUCCGUCAUUGAGGUGUACCGUUCCCUUUCACGCUGUCGCUUUCGCUCAGAGGAUUCAAGUUGUCGUUUCUUCUCAGAAUAUGCACAUUUUUCAGCGAAGCUCUCUUGCCAAUGCAACCCUGCAGAUGUGGACAAAUUUUGCCGAUCUUUGACGGAUCUCACAUCUCCCAGGGAAUUGCGAUGAAUCUGAUGAAGUCAUGUCAGAUGCAUAGUUAUGUCUGCCAACAGGAGCCACAUCUACAAAUUCAGUUCAGCUAAAAAAUCACUGGGUGAAUCCAGAUUGUCCAGUACCAGGUGUAUGACAUACUGUGCUAUCGCCAACUGUAAAGGUUUUGAGGAGAAAACAAUAUGCUAUGAUCGUUGCAUGACUAUGACAGUUGCAUUAGUGAAGUCGAAAGCACGGUUGAAAUCACCUUGAAGAAUCGGAGAAGCUGGA